GACCUCGGAUCAGGUAGGGAUACCCGCUGAACUUAAGCAUAUCAAUAAGGGAGGAAAAGAAACCAACAGGGAUUGCCUCAGUAACGGCGAGUGAAGCGCAACAGCUCAAAUUUGAAAUCUGGCCCCGUCGGGGUCCGAGUUGUAAUUGUAGAGAGUGUUUCGGGUGAGACCACGGUCUAAGUCUAUUGGAACAUGGGUCAUAGAGGGUGAGAAUCCCGUAUGUGACCGUGGCUCGAGCCCAUGUGAGCCUCUUCGACGAGUCGAGUUGUUUGGGAAUGCAGCUCAAAAUGGGUGUAAAUUUCAUCUAAAGCUAAAUACUGGCUGGAGACCGAUAGCGCACAAGAGAGUGAUCGAAAGAUGAAAAGCACUUUGGAAAGAGAGUCAAAAAGUACUGAAAUUGUUGAAAGGGAAGCGCUUGCAACCAGACCUGUCCGUAGGUGACAACCGCUGUUCUCAGUGGUGCACUCGCUCUGCGAUCAGGCCAGCAUCGUUCCGGCGGUCGGAUAAAGGCCUUGGGAAUGUAGCUCCCUUCGGGGAGUUUAUAGCCCUCGGUGCAAUGCGGCCAGCCGGGACCGAGGACCGCGCUUCGCUAGGAUGCUGGCGUAAUGGUUGUAAGCGACCCGUCUUGAAACACGGACAAGGAGUCUAACAUCUAUGCGAGUGUUUGGGUGUUAAACCCAUGCGCGAAUGAAAGUGAACGGAGGUGAGAACCCUUUAGGGCGCAUCAUCGACCGACCAGAUGUCUUCGGAUGGAUUUGAGUAUGAGCAUAGCUGUUGGGACCCGAAGAUGGUGAACUAUGCCUGAAUAGGGUGAAGCCAGAGGAAACUCUGGUGAGGCUCGCAGCGGUUCUGACGUGCAAAUCGAUCGUCAAAUUUGGGUAUGGGGCGAAAGACUAAUCGAACCAUCCCUUUAAUAAGCUAUAGGUGGUUAUCAAAGUAUCUUGUUUCUCAAAUACUUUUAGUCCUUCGGGGCGACAUCAUACUUGCAUGAACAAACUUUUAGGUUGACAUGCUGCAGUUCUUCCCACUGUGUGGGUCCUGUUCACAGACCAAAUAGUGGUGGCCGGGCUAUCUCUUUAUGAAUGCUUGGUUUAGAAAUGGCCGAGUCCUACUCUUAACUGAGUCGGCCUGGGACGGUGGUGCAUUUUGGGCCCUUCCGUUGCGGGA
rnacentral:rRNA from 1 species